UACGAAGGGUGCAAGCGUUACUCGGAAUUACUGGGCGUAAAGCGUGCGUAGGUGGUGAGUUAAGUCUGUCGUGAAAGCCCCGGCUCAACCUGGGAAUGGCGAUGGAUACUGGCUCGCUAGAGUGCGGUAGAGGAGAGUGGAAUUCCCGGUGUAGCAGUGAAAUGCGUAGAGAUCGGGAGGAACAUCAGUUGCGAAGGCGGCUCUCUGGACCAGCACUGACACUGAGGCACGAAAGCGUGGGGGAGCAAACAGG
rnacentral:rRNA from 1 species